rnacentral:rRNA from 1 species
UGCUUACACAUGCAAGUCGAACGGUGAAGCCCAGCUUGCUGGGUGGAUCAGUGGCGAACGGGUGAGUAACACGUGAGUAACCUGCCCCUGACUCUGGGAUAAGCCUUGGAAACGAGGUCUAAUACCGGAUACGUGACGCUCAGGCAUCUGAUGCGUCUGGAAAGAUUUAUCGGUCAGGGAUGGACUCGCGGCCUAUCAGCUUGUUGGUGGGGUAACGGCCCACCAAGGCGACGACGGGUAGCCGGCCUGAGAGGGCGACCGGCCACACUGGGACUGAGACACGGCCCAGACUCCUACGGGAGGCAGCAGUGGGGAAUAUUGCACAAUGGGCGCAAGCCUGAUGCAGCGACGCCGCGUGAGGGAUGAAGGCCUUCGGGUUGUAAACCUCUUUCAGCAGGGAAGAAGCGCAAGUGACGGUACCUGCAGAAGAAGCGCCGGCUAACUACGUGCCAGCAGCCGCGGUAAUACGUAGGGCGCAAGCGUUGUCCGGAAUUAUUGGGCGUAAAGAGCUCGUAGGCGGUCUGUCGCGUCUGCUGUGAAAACUCGAGGCUCAACCUCGGGCUUGCAGUGGGUACGGGCAGACUAGAGUGCGGUAGGGGAGACUGGAAUUCCUGGUGUAGCGGUGGAAUGCGCAGAUAUCAGGAGGAACACCGAUGGCGAAGGCAGGUCUCUGGGCCGCAACUGACGCUGAGGAGCGAAAGCAUGGGGAGCGAACAGGAUUAGAUACCCUGGUAGUCCAUGCCGUAAACGUUGGGCACUAGGUGUGGGGCUCAUUCCACGAGUUCCGUGCCGCAGCAAACGCAUUAAGUGCCCCGCCUGGGGAGUACGGCCGCAAGGCUAAAACUCAAAGAAAUUGACGGGGGCCCGCACAAGCGGCGGAGCAUGCGGAUUAAUUCGAUGCAACGCGAAGAACCUUACCAAGGCUUGACAUACACCGGAAACUUCCAGAGAUGGU